rnacentral:rRNA from 1 species
GAUGAACGCUAGCGGCAGGCCUCAUACAUGCAAGUCGAGGGGCAGUGACUAUACUUUUAGUGUAGUCAGCGACCGGCGAACGGGUGCGUAACACGUAUAUAAUCUACCUUGUACAGGGGAAUAGCUUUUGGAAACGAAAAUUAAUACCCCAUAUAAUCUUUUUAUCGCAUGAUAGUAAGAUGAAAGCUCAGGCGGUGCAAGAUGAGUAUGCGUCCUAUUAGCUAGUUGGUAAGGUAAUGGCUUACCAAGGCAAUGAUGGGUAGGGGGUUUGAGAGAAUGAUCCCCCACACUGGCACUGAGAUACGGGCCAGACUCCUACGGGAGGCAGCAGUAGGGAAUAUUGGUCAAUGGGCGCAAGCCUGAACCAGCUAUGCCGCGUGCAGGAUGAAAGCCCUAUGGGUUGUAAACUGCUUUUGUACGGGAGAAAUAGGUUUCUGAGGAAACUAAUGAUAGUACCGUAAGAAUAAGCACCGGCUAACUCCGUGCCAGCCGCCGCCGUAACAC